rnacentral:rRNA from 1 species
GAACCGUCCAAACGUUAUUCGGAAUCACUGGGCUUGAAGGGUGCGUAGGCGGUGUCGUAAGUUGGGUGUGAAAUCCCUCGGCUCAACCGAGGAACUGCGCCCAAUACUGCGGUACUAGAGGGAGAUAGGGGUAAGCGGAACUGAUGGUGGAGCGGUGAAAUGCGUUGAUAUCAUCAGGAACACCGGUGGCGAAAGCGGCUUACUGGAUCUCUUCUGACGCUGAGGCACGAAAGCCAGGGGAGCGAACGGGGGAUUAGAUACCCCGGUAGUCCUGGCUGUAAACGAUGAGCACUUGGUCGAAGACUCCUCCAUAGGUUUUCGGCCGUAGCGAAAGUGUUAAGUGCUCCGCCUGGGGAGUAUGGUCGCAAGGCUG